rnacentral:rRNA from 1 species
GACGAACCGAGCGAACGUUGUUCGGAAUCACUGGGCUUAAAGGGCGCGUAGGCGGGUGCUCAAGUCCGGGGUGAAAUCCUCCAGCUCAACUGGAGAACUGCCUUGGAUACUGGGUGCCUCGAGUGUGGUAGGGGUGUGCGGAACUAUCGGUGGAGCGGUGAAAUGCGUUGAUAUCGAUAGGAACUCCGGUGGCGAAGGCGGCACACUGGACCACAACUGACGCUGAGGCGCGAAAGCCAGGGGAGCAAACGG